GUAGUCAUAUGCUUGUCUCAAAGAUUAAGCCAUGCAUGUCUAAGUAUAAGCAAUUAUACAGCGAAACUGCGAAUGGCUCAUUAUAUAAGUUAUCGUUUAUUUGAUAGUACCUUACUACUUGGAUAACCGUGGUAAUUCUAGAGCUAAUACAUGUUAAAAAUCCCGACUUCGGAAGGGAUGUAUUUAUUAGAUUAAAAACCAAUGCCCUUCGGGGCUCCUUGGUGAUUCAUGAUAACUCCUCGAAUCGCAUGGCCUUGUGCCGGCGAUGGUUCAUUCAAAUUUCUUCCCUAUCAACUUUCGAUGUUUGGGUAUUGGCCAAACAUGGUUGCAACGGGUAACGGGGAAU
rnacentral:rRNA from 1 species